rnacentral:rRNA from 1 species
UAAUACGGAGGGUGCAAGCGUUAUCCGGAUUUAUUAGGUUUAAAGGGUCCGCAGGCGGAAUAUUAGGUCAGUGGUGAAAGCCUACAGCUCAACUGUAGAACUGCCAUUGAAACUGUUAUUCUUGAGUAUGGAUGAAGUGGGCGGAAUAUGUCAUGUAGCGGUGAAAUGCAUAGAUAUGACAUGGAACACCAAUUGCGAAGGCAGCUCACUAAACCAUUACUGACGCUCAUGGACGAAAGCGUGGGGAGCGAACAGGAUUAGAUACCCUGGUAGUCCACGCCGUAAACGAUGAUCACUAGAUGUUGGCGAUAUAAUGUCAGCGUUCAAGAGAAAUCGAUAAGUGAUCCACCUGGGGAGUACGUUCGCAAGAAUG